rnacentral:piRNA from 1 species
UAAUAAUAUGAGGGUAGAAUAGGAAUUUUA